AGUAGCCGCGGUAAUUCCAGCUCCAAUAGCGUAUAUUAAAGUUGUUGCAGUUAAAAAGCUACGUAGUUGAACCUCAGGCCUGGCUGGGCGGUCCGCCUUCCGGGUGAGUACUGCCUGUGGUCGGGUCCUACCUUCUGGCGAAGCGUCAUGGCCUUAACCGGCCGUGGCGGGGAAGCAGGACUUUUACUGUGAAAAAUUAGAGUGUUUAAAGCAGGCACGCGCUUGAAUACAUUAGCAUGGAAUAAUGGAAUAGGACAGUGGUUCUAUUUGUUGGUUUCUAGGACCGUUGUAAUGAUUAAUAGGGAUAGUUGGGGGCAGUUAGUAUUUCAAUUGUCUAGAGGUGAAAUUCUUGGAUUUAUUGAAGACUAACUACUGCGAAAGCAAUUUGCCAAGGAUGUUUUCAUUAAUCAAGAACGAAAGUUAGGGGAUCGAAGACGAUCAGAUACCGUCGUAGUCUUAACCAUAAACUAUGCCGACUAGGAAUACGGGGCGAAUGUUGACAAAAUGUAACGCGCUCGGCACCUCCAUGGGAAAAACCG
rnacentral:rRNA from 1 species